rnacentral:tRNA from 1 species
GGCGUAGCUCAACUGGUAGAGCAGCUGAUUUGUAAUCAGCAGGUUGCGGGUUCAAGUCCCAUCGCC